rnacentral:rRNA from 1 species
CCUACGGGGGGCAGCAGUCGAGAAUCAUUCACAAUGGGGGAAACCCUGAUGGUGCGACGCCGCGUGGGGGAAUGAAGGUCUUCGGUUUGUAAACCCCUGUCAUGUGGGAGCAAAUUAAAAAGAUAGUACCACAAGAGGAAGAGACGGCUAACUCUGUGCCAGCAGCCGCGGUAAUACAGAGGUCUCAAGCGUUGUUCGGAAUCACUGGGCGUAAAGCGUGCGUAGGCUGUUUCGUAAGUCGUGUGUGAAAGGCGCGGGCUCAACCCCCGGACGGCACAUGAUACUGCGAGACUAGAGUAAUGGAGGGGGAACCGGAAUUCCCGGUGUAGCAGUGAAAUGCGUAGAUAUCGAGAGGAACACUCGUGGCGAAGGCGGGUUCCUGGACAUUAACUGACGCUGAGGCGCGAAGGCCAGGGGAGCGAAAGGGAUUAGAUACCCCUGUAGUC